rnacentral:rRNA from 1 species
CGGGGGGGCAAGCGUUGUUCGGAAUUACUGGGCGUAAAGGCGCGUAGGCGGUUCGUUAAGUUAGAUGUGAAAACUCUGGGCUCAACCCAGAGCCUGCAUCUAAAACUGGCGGGCUAGAGUUCUGGAGGGGGUAGCGGAAUUCCUGGUGUAGCGGUGAAAUGCGUAGAUAUCAGGAGGAACACCGGUGGCGAAGGCGGCUACCUGGACAGAAACUGACGCUGAGGCGCGAAAGCUAGGGGAGCAAACAGGAUUAGAUACCCUGGUAGUCCUAGCCCUAAACGAUGGAUACUUGCUGUAACUGGGAUUGAAUCCAGUUGUGGCGAAGCUAACGCAUUAAGUAUCCCGCCUGGGGAGUACGGUCGCAAGGCUG